CCCGCUGAACUUAAGCAUAUUAAUAAGCGGAGGAAAAGAAACUAACAAGGAUUCCCUCAGUAACGGCGAGUGAAGCGGGAAUAGCUCAAAUUUGAAAUCUCCAGGGGCGACCUUGGCGAAUUGUAGUUUAGAGAAGUACUUUCUGAAUAGGACGCCGUCCAAGUUCCCUGGAACGAGACAUCAGAGAGGGUGAGAAUCCCGUAUCUGGCGGCGAGUAUCCUGUUCUCUAUGGGGUGCUUUCGAAGAGUCGGGUUGUUUGGGAAUGCAGCCCAAAAUGGGUGGUAAAUUUCAUCUAAAGCUAAAUAUGGGCACGAGACCGAUAGCGAACAAGUACCGUGAGGGAAAGAUGAAAAGCACUUUGAAAAGAGAGUUAAAUAGCACGUGAAGCCGUUAAAAUGGAAACGAUUGAAGUCAGCAGUGCUUGCCAGCAAUCAAUCUCGCGACGGCCGGCUGCGGUAGUUUUUGGAGGGCGAAAGCUCACAUAAUUGCUGUUGAUCCGGAUGUCUACGGGGUGCACUUGUUGGUGGAGCGGGUCAGCAUCGGUUUGGUGGGUGGGGUAAAGUAGGCAGGAAGGUAGCUCCUAAUCGAGUGUUAAGCCUGUCUAUUGAGACAUCUGCUAGACCGAGGAUAUCAUGCAGCGUUCCCGCAAGGGCUAGGGGGCAGUUAUUAUGGUGCUUUCCGCCUGUGGAUACUGUUUCACGACACGUGGCUGUGGGCGGUGAGGUGCUAGAGGUGAUUGUCAAUCAUACCAACGCUUCAGAUGCUGACGAAAUGGCUUUAAACGACCCGUCUUGAAACACGG
rnacentral:rRNA from 1 species